AGUCUUUCUCCCUGGAUAGAAGCAUGACCACAAAACUACCAUCUCAAGAGGAGUUUGAGAACUGGACAGCUUUUCAAGUUGCAGAUCUCUUAAGACAGUUUGGAAUGCCUGAAUCUGCUGUGGUUGUAGAAAAACUGUGCAUGAGUGGAUCUCAUUUCUUGAAUGCAUCAGAUCAUGAGCUGAGCAGAUUCAAAACAAUGC